GACCAACUCCCUCUGCCCUCCCAUUCUUAUCUCCUUGUAAGUGCCCUAGGUGAGUAUUUCCCCAUCCUUCCCAUCCUGUGAUAUGCCUGGGAACUUGCUGAGACACCACACUAGAAGAAAGGGUGAAUCUCCCAGGGACUUUCACGCCAUUAUGACUUUUUCUAUUUUUGUAUGGAAAAUAUGAACCUCUAAUGUUCUGAUACUGGAAAUCCAGAAGCUGGGCAAGUAACAGGGAACAGGAGGCCUGACGUCAAAAGCUCCCCCUCGUGACCAAAUCGACUGGGACUUGUUGGAUCCAAGAUGGCAGCUCACUUGACUUCUGAAGAACCUGGAACUUCAUUAUAAUCAAAUUUCCGUGCUAAAUGACAUUCCCGCGAGCACCAUGACAGUUGACAAUCACCAUGACAAUGACAGAAGAAACCAUAAAAUGACAAAAAGGAAGGCGGCAACUCUGGUUCUGAGUUUUCUGCCCAUUUCCAGAAAAGAUGUGAAUAUUCUUCUCUUUGCUUUUAAUGCCUGACCCUGUCAUUAGAGAUAUUCUGUAUCUGUGACUUCCUGGUUUUCAUAAGCUGAGAAGGUGAUUUGUGAGCCAAUCUCCUGGUUCUCAAUUUCAUGGCCAUUGAAUGAAGCUGGUACUGCUUGAUGCUCACUUUCUGUUCUGUGUAUUGGCUUCCUGGCACUGAAGAGGGAAAGACCUAUUUUUGGGGUGGGGGCGGGGGGGACCAGCUUUAUCAGUAACAGAAAGUUAGGACAGUCAUUCCUUUUCAAGACACCUCUUCAUCCUCAAAGAUUAACAGCUCUUUCUUAAUGUCAUAACAAUCAAAAUUUGGAAUUAAGCUCCUUAUGGAUCACGGGUGAGAGUGAAUUUGCUCUUUGAAAGAACAGAUGUCACAAUAUAUGAACAUAUUUUCAUUUUAUUAAACAUGCUAGUACAGUACAGUGGUUAAGACCUCAGAGGCUGGAGCUAGGGGCCCUGGGCUGGAAUUCUGACUCUGUCACUUACAUGUGAGACAGUAGGCAUGUUAUCAACUCAACAUGUCUCAGUUUCCUUGUCUAUAAAAUGGGGAUAAUAAUAGAACCUAACUUAUAAGGGUGGUUGUGAGAAUUAAAUGUGUUAAUAUAUGUAAAGUUUCUGAAAUGGUGCCUAACAAAAAGUAAUCAUUAUAUAAAUAUUAACUACUCAUCUUUCUAAUGUGUUACUAUUUUAUGGUAUUCUGUUUUCCUACUAUUUUUAUUUAGCUUGUUUAUCAUCAUUGAACAUUAUUUUUACUAUUUAAUAUUUUCUUUAUUUAGAAGAAUUUAUUUUUCUAGGGCAGUUUUAGGUUCAUAGCAAAAUUGAGAGGAAGGUACAGGUAUAUUUCCCAUAUACCAUUGGGUCCCAUACAUGCAUGGCCUCCUCCAUUAUCAACACCCCCCACCAAAGUGGCACAUUAGUUACAACAGAUGAACCUGCAUUCACACAUCAUUAUCACCCAGAGUCCGUAGUUUACAUCAGAGUUCACUCUUGAUGUUGUUCAUUCUGUGGGUUUGGACAAAUGUAUAAAGGCAUGUGUGCACCAUUAUAGUUUCAUAUAGAGUAGUUUCAAUGCCCUAAAAAUCCUGUGUGUCCCUGAACACCUAAAGGAGGUCUGGAGUGGAGUGAGGCAAUCAAUUGGGGGGUGGGCUGAGGGAGCACAGCUGCAGAGACCGGCCUUGGAGGGCACCCUGAGGGUCCUGUGCUUCCAUGGUACAUGCAAAGCCAACCUCUCAAGGGCUACAAGCAGUGACAUUCCAUAAGCAGGUUUCCAUUUUGGAGAGAUCACCCUGUCCUCUUUGAGGGACGUGGGUUAGAAGAUCACCUGGGACUUUAGCAGCCUUGGGAAGGCCCUGAGCCAGCAACCGCUCAUACACUUAAUUGGAUCAAUGAAAAAGGUCCAAAUUCCUGUUGACGCUAACAUCUGAUCACCAUAGAGCCCUACGACAAUUUUAGAAUCGGCAGCCUAAUCCAGUGGUCUCCACUGUGGGGUGACACACCUCAGAAAGUGCACAAAACAAUUCGUUUCAGAGUGGAAGAGAAAUACUAGAACUUCUAUUUUUAAAAAUAAUAAAUACAACUAAAUAACAAAUUUCAUUAUUUCCAAAUUGAACAUUUCCUUUGUAUGUUUUAUAAUGUAUUAUAUAAUAUACAUUAUCUCAUUUAUAAACAAACAAAUAUGAGGUGGUGCUAAAGUGUUUUUACUGAUUGAGCGCCGUUUCCUUCCAUGCUGGAAGUCUCCUAUCUGUGUCAAAGGCUAUCCUGAUUCAACCCCUGAAAUUACUAUUCCAGGACUUUAUUGUCAUAUAUGACAGAGAUUUAGGGAAGACUUAGGCCAAAAUUUAUACCAAUAUAUUAAAACAAAUAAACAUAAUAAAGUAAUUUAAAAUUUAACAUGUGCUUGUCUCUCAUGCACAGCCAUUCAGUGCUUGGGACAGUGCCUGACAUACAGAACACGUUCAGUACAUAUUUGUUGAAUGAAUAAAUGGAUUAAGGA
rnacentral:lncRNA from 10 species